ACUCAAAUGAAUAGACGGGGACCUGCACAAGCGGUGGAGCAUGUGGUUUAAUUCGAAACAAAGCGAAAAACCUUACCAGGAUUUGACAUCCUAACUGCACGCCGUUGGAAACAAUGGUUUCUUCGAGAGUGUUAGGACAGGUGCUGCAUGGCUGUCGUCAGCUUGUACCGUGAGGCGCACCCUUAAGUGGGUCAACAAGCGCAACCCCCACCCCGUGUUAAAUAUUCACUGGGAACUGCCCGCUAAAAGCGUGGAGGAAGGCGGGGAUGACGUCAAGUCAGCACGGCCCUUAUGUCCUGGGCUACACACAUCCUACAAUGGGUGUUUUACAACGAGAUGCAAUACGGUAACGUAAAGCUAAUCUUUCAAAAGCACCCUCAGUUCGGAUUGAGGGCUGCAAUUUGCCCUCAUGAAGCUGAAAUCGCUAGUAAUCGCGGAUCAGCAGGCCGCGGUGAAUACGUUCUCAGGUCUUGUACACACCGCCCGU
rnacentral:rRNA from 1 species